AUCAAGCGCAACCCAAGCACUUCUCUUCAUAUAAGUGCUCCUCUUUAUCGCCCCAUCCCCUAUUUUCUCCCCCUUCUCUCUCUCUGCCCCGUCCCUCUCUCUCUCUCUCUCUCNNNNNNNNNNNNNNNNNNNNNNNNNNNNNNNNNNNNNNNCCAUCUCUCUCUCUCUGCCCCCCGCGUCUCUCUCUGUGCCCCAUCUCUCUCUUUUUCUCUCUGCCCCCCAUCUCUCUCUCUGUGCCCUGUCUCUCUCUCUCUCUCUGCACCCCAUCUCUCUCUCUCUGCGCCCCGUGUCUCUCUCUCUCUGCGCCCCAUCUCUCUCUUUCUGUGCCCAGUGUCUCUCUCUGCACCCCAUCUCUCUCUCUGUGUGUGCCCCGUCUCUCUCUCUCUCUCUGCACCCCCCCUCUCUCUCUUCCUCCAUCUCCCCUUGCCCAACACCCAGUCUCUGCCUGCUUCCUUCGUAGCCUCCUCUGUUGUUUUGUGCAUUAGUUUAGGGUGCAUUAGUUUAGUUACAGAGGUGACAAAGAACAGCCUGAGUUAUUCCUCUUUUAGGCAUUGUGCUCUUUUAAUUCCCCCCCUCCUCUCUUCCUUUGUGUGUGUGUAUACAUGUGUGUGUCUGAGGGGGAGAAAGAGAGGAGAGUGUGUGUAUGUGUGUGCCCCCCUCUCUCCUUCCCCUCACUUUUCUUCAUUUCCUCGUCCUCUCUUUCCCCUCCCCUUUCUUGUGAUUGUGCAUUUGUGUAUGUGUGUCUGCGUGUGAAUGGAUUUCUCUUUUAAGGUGGGGGGGGGAGAAGAAAGAAGAGGCUUGUUUUUCUGAAUAAUAGGUUACUUGUUAAAUUCUGAAACUAUGGAUUCAAAUAGGGGGUUUGGAUCCUGGAGCUCAGGCUACAUAUGUGCUUUGUAUUUCAGAUUAUAGGGCAAACUGUCUUUGAUUCAUCUCUGAAGCUGUCUCCCCACCAAAUGAAGGUUGCAACAGAUCAUACACAAGAACCACACAGCAGGCAUGCACAAACAAUUGUGGUACUCCCAAG
rnacentral:lncRNA from 1 species